UACGUAGGGGGCAAGCGUUGUCCGGAUUUAUUGGGCGUAAAGAGCGUGUAGGCGGCUAGGUAGGUGGGUUGUGAAAACUGGAGGCUCAACCUUCAGACGUCGACCCAAACCCCCUGGCUAGAGUUCGGUAGGGGAGACUGGAAUUCCUGGUGUAGCGGUGAAAUGCGCAGAUAUCAGGAGGAACACCGGUGGCGAAGGCGGACGUCUCGUCGGUCUACCUGACGCUGAGGAGCGAAAGCAUGGGGAGCAAACAGG
rnacentral:rRNA from 1 species